rnacentral:rRNA from 1 species
AUUGAACGCUGGCGGCAGGCCUAACACAUGCAAGUCGAACGAGUGGCGGACGGGUGAGUAAUGAUUGGGAAACUAGCUGAUGGAGGGGGAUAACUACGGGAAACUGUAGCUAAUACCGCGUACCAUAGGAUGAGCCCAGAUGGGAUUAGGUAGUUGGUGGGGGAAAGGCUCACCAAGCCGACGAUCCCUAGCUGGUCUGAGAGGAUGACCAGCCACACUGGGACUGAGACACGGCCCAGACUCCUACGGGAGGCAGCAGUGGGGAAUAUUGCACAAUGGGGGCAACCCUGAUGCAGCCAUGCCGCGUGUAUGAAGAAGGCCUUCGGGUUGUAAAGUACUUUCAGUAGCGAGGCGUUACCUACAGAAGAAGCACCGGCUAACUCCGUGCCAGCAGCCGCGGUAAUUC